UACGGGGGGAGCAAGCGUUGUUCGGAUUUACUGGGCGUAAAGGGCGCGUAGGCGGUCAGUGCAAGUCAGUUGUGAAAUCUCCGGGCUUAACUCGGAAAGGUCAACUGAUACUGCUCGACUAGAGUGCGGAAGGGGCAACUGGAAUUCUUGGUGUAGCGGUGAAAUGCGUAGAUAUCAGGAAGAACACCAACGGCGAAGGCAGACUCGCUGGGACGGUACUGACGCUGAGACGCGAAAGCGUGGGGAGCGAACAGG
rnacentral:rRNA from 1 species